rnacentral:lncRNA from 10 species
GCUGCCGGCGUGUGGGCGAGGCUCGGGGCGCGAGGACCGAGCAGGGCGCAAUCCAAGUCCUGGGCACUGUCAAAUGGUUCAACGUCCGGAAUGGUUACGGAUUCAUCAACAGGAAUGACACCAAGGAAGAUGUCUUUGUUCACCAGGAAGCACUGAGGCAGUUUUCAGAGGGAGAAGGUCCUUGGGUGCAGUGGUUCUCAAAGCGUGGCCCCUGCACCAGCGGCAGCAGCAUCACCUGACAUCCGAAUUCUCAGGUCCCACCCCAGACCUGGUGAAUCAAUCAGAGCUGGGGCUGGGGCUCCACAAUCGGUUUAACGAGCUCUCCAGGUGAUUCUGAUGCACGCUACAGCUUGAGAACCACUGCUUGGUGGAAAGAGCUCUCACUGGGACUGAGACAGCUAUUAAAAGAAACAACCCCAGGAAGUUUCUGCGCAGCGUUGGAGAUGGGGAGACUGUGGAAUUUGAUGUCGUGGAAGGAGAGAAGGGCGCAGAAGCCACUAAUGUAACUGGGCCUGGGGGAGUACCCGUGAAGGGCAGCCGUUAUGCCCCCAACCGACGUAAGUCCCGCCGAUUCAUCCCCCGGCCUCCCUCAGUUGCCCCACCACCCAUGGUGGCAGAGAUCCCCUCGGCGGGGACAGGACCUGGCAGUAAAG